rnacentral:rRNA from 1 species
AACGCUGGCGGCGUGCCUAAUACAUGCAAGUCGAGCGAACGGACGAGAAGCUUGCUUCUCUGAUGUUAGCGGCGGACGGGUGAGUAACACGUGGAUAACCUACCUAUAAGACUGGGAUAACUUCGGGAAACCGGAGCUAAUACCGGAUAAUAUUUUGAACCGCAUGGUUCAAAAGUGAAAGACGGUCUUGCUGUCACUUAUAGAUGGAUCCGCGCUGCAUUAGCUAGUUGGUAAGGUAACGGCUUACCAAGGCAACGAUGCAUAGCCGACCUGAGAGGGUGAUCGGCCACACUGGAACUGAGACACGGUCCAGACUCCUACGGGAGGCAGCAGUAGGGAAUCUUCCGCAAUGGGCGAAAGCCUGACGGAGCAACGCCGCGUGAGUGAUGAAGGUCUUCGGAUCGUAAAACUCUGUUAUUAGGGAAGAACAUAUGUGUAAGUAACUGUGCACAUCUUGACGGUACCUAAUCAGAAAGCCACGGCUAACUACGUGCCAGCAGCCGCGGUAAUACGUAGGUGGCAAGCGUUAUCCGGAAUUAUUGGGCGUAAAGCGCGCGUAGGCGGUUUUUUAAGUCUGAUGUGAAAGCCCACGGCUCAACCGUGGAGGGUCAUUGGAAACUGGAAAACUUGAGUGCAGAAGAGGAAAGUGGAAUUCCAUGUGUAGCGGUGAAAUGCGCAGAGAUAUGGAGGAACACCAGUGGCGAAGGCGACUUUCUGGUCUGUAACUGACGCUGAUGUGCGAAAGCGUGGGGAUCAAACAGGAUUAGAUACCCUGGUAGUCCACGCCGUAAACGAUGAGUGCUAAGUGUUAGGGGGUUUCCGCCCCUUAGUGCUGCAGCUAACGCAUUAAGCACUCCGCCUGGGGAGUACGACCGCAAGGUUGAAACUCAAAGGAAUUGACGGGGACCCGCACAAGC